rnacentral:lncRNA from 1 species
AGACAGCAGAGGAGACUGUCAGCAGACCACCUUGGAGGGGAUGCUUGGAGCUGCCUAACGUGCGAUUCAAAGAUGAAUUCCAUGUGUUUGGAGAAGAAGCCCUAGCCUCAACACAAAGGUUGGCCACAUUCCAGCCAAGGUAGCACGGAGUGAAGGCCCAUGGAGGGAGAGCUGGGCUUUUCUGAACUACUUCAGUACACCUUGCUGUGCCUCGGCCUGCCGUGUUUCAUCCCCAUGGCUGUCCUCAGUGAUGUGCAUGGUCACUGCUCCCUUCACCACUGAGAAGACGGGCACAGGACGGUCAGGGGACGUGUCCAAGGUCCCACAGCAGGAAGGGCUGGAGCCAGAAUGUGGUCUGAGAGGCUGGAUAUACAAAGAGACAAUGGUGUGACCAUCUGUACAAAUGGAACUAUGGCCCACAACCUGCAGCAGCCAGCCCAGGAAGCCAACCUGUCACCUGCAGUAGCCAGGAUGGAUGCUGGCCUGCCCUCACUGAUAGUUAAGUCUAGUUUUAUGUGGCUCCAAACGCCUCCACCAUGAGCUCAAGGCAGUGACUGACUGAAAAACCCUCUCUAUUACAGACCACAACAUUGAACCCAACAUCCCCCUAAGUAGGUUGUACUCACAUCAUUGGUCUUAUGGGGAAAUUUUAAGAACUCCCACUUGUAAGGUUUUAUAGCCCUCUAUGGAAUAUUGAAGAAAGAGUAAAAUGCAUCCAAAAAAAAAAACAAAAAACACUAAACUGGAUAAAUUCUAAGGCCUCUUCAGGUCUUAAGAUGGCCAUUUUCUAGGUCCUCUUGCUGCAGCAGUGAAAUCCACAAACACGGGCAAGUCAGUCAGUUACGUGCCUUUCAGAGAAAACUUCUGACUUAGGAACUCCAGCUAUUUGGCCCAACCCAUAUUAGAUUGUGUUAUAAAGACAUGGUAAAUUACAUCACGAAGGGAAGAGCAGAGGAAACAUAAUAUUCCUUCAAGACCCAUCAGCUCAGAUGUUAGCAGAACACCCCUAAGGAGGAAAACAAGAAAUUUUGGGUUUGAACUUGGUGCUUCCCAGCAGCCCUGGGAGUGGGGUCAGAAGCCC